GGAGACACAUCAUCCGCGAACAAUUGAGGGACGGCAACUGAUUUCAAAACCACAAACAGUAUUUGCCAAUAUCAUAACUGGAACUGGAGCUGGACAUCUUUGGAGCUGAAGAUUGAGGACAGCUUUUGUAUGCUAGUGUACACUCCUUAACAGUUUUACUGGAUGAAAACACAGCAAGAAAACACAUAGGCCAAUAUGUAAUAGUCAUCUAUUUUAUUGCAGUAUUGGUGGUGGUUGGCUGAAUAACAACUUGUUUUACUAGAGGGGGAAAAAAUGAAUAUACAUAACCCAUAUUUAAUAUUCACGCAGUGACUGAACAACUUCAUUUCCACCCCCACCUCUAAAGGCAUAGUAUCAUGGCAGGUCACCUGUCAAGUCACCUGUCAGGCAGACUUUGCAGUGCCUCCAUGGGUGACUACCUUGAGCAUCAGUUUGAGGGACUUUGCAGGGAAAUUGCCGUGCAGUGAGGCGUAGGGGAUUGUCCACAGCAGGACGACCCCCAGUGGAUGGGCGCCGAGGGGUGUGGUGCUCCUCCAGCAGCUCUCUCAUGAGGAUCUCUCUGUACUUUUGGUAGGUAAUUACUUUACCUAUGAGGGAGUGGGGAGGAUGAGGGAAGGGAGAGGAUGAUGAGGCAGUGGGUAGGUGGGUGAGAUAUUGUCACUAUAAUUGCAUAAUGGAACUGUAUAUGAUUUGCAUGUGAACUGUACAUCCA